GUGUUUCUACAAAGGUGAGAGAGGUGCCUCCUUGUGACUCCAGCUGAGCUACGGGAGAUAUCAGGGGGUUUCAUAAAAAAGAAAAAUUACCCCAAGACUUUCCCUGCCAGGGUCCUUUCUGUUGGAGGAAGUGUCCCCUUGGGAGAGAGAAGAGGACCAGAAUUUAGGCCUCAGAAGGGAAGGAUGAAGCCCCCAAAGUUGCCACCUUCUAGGGAGCCCAGACCUCAGGAUUUUGAGGAGUUGGCUCCAUCAGUGUCAAGAGGCUCAGUGUCCCCACGGGAAGGGAUCAGUGGGAGCUUUCAGCGCCAAUGUCUCAUGAGUUGAAGGUCAGUGGUUUUCUCUUGGACUGAUGAUUGUCCUGCUCUGAUCCACCUGACUCCAGAGGGGUGGGUACUGACAUGGUGACUCAAGAAUGUGGCCUCGGUCUCCCCCUGGGGCCUUGUGGUUAAUCCCCUACUCUCCUGUGGUCUGGAACCACUGAAUGCAGAUUCAAAUCUCUCUUUCCUCCAUGAUUCUAUCAAGAAAGAAGAGGGUUGUCAUCUCAGUUGACACAGGGGUGGAGGCCCGUGCGUGGGCCCCUGAAGUUUCUAGGGCUGACUCUUCCUAAUUUUCUGUGUGGCCUUGAACAAAUCCUCUCUCUGGAUGUCACUCGCACCUAAGAAGCCAGAUACUUCAGCCCUCCCAACAGCCAUCUGCAGUGGGCCUGUCCUGGCUUCAUCACCCCCUGUGUCACCCUGGGCAACUCCCUUCACUUCUCAGCACCUCAGUUUCCACGUGUUGAACAGGAGUGGUAAUAGUUCCUGUUUCAUUGAGUUGUCAUAAAGCAAGAACUCAGCCCAGCACCUGGAGAGACCUCAAAUGCGUUGUUACUAUCAUCGCCCUUCUCUUCCUUUCACAGAUGAGGAAACUGAGUCUCAGAGAAGUCGAGGGACUGGCUCAGAGAUGUACAGCAUGGCAUUGCUGGAGCCGGCCUGGAAGACAAGCAGUCUCCCUCCAAUUGCACACUGUUUUCUCUGAGGCUCUGCAUUGUUGGAGGAAGGGUCAGAGGGGCUGGAGAGGAAGAAACAAUGCAAAUAUGAGGCAGCAGAAGGGAAAUAGAGGUACUGGGGGCUUCCAGCCUCAUGCUGCUUGCUCUCUCCUGAAUCCAUCGUUGGUCUUUCUGUCCUAAUCCGACCACUCCAUCGCCAGCCUCCAUUCCUCUGAAUGUUGAUAGAAGAGCUCCGGACUCUUUCCAGCUUUCCAGACUUUUCCACUCACACAGACUCAAGGGUCCUCCCAACUGUCUUGUGAAAAGAGGCCAUCCCAUUCCACAGGAGGGGAAACUGAGGCUUGGAAAAGGCACAUGGUCCCAUGUAGCGUCACUGUGGCUCUUCGGACUCUUCCAGGUCCCUCUGCCUGUCCUGGGCCUGCCAUUGUUCCACCUCCAGAUCAUUCUCCUCUGGGUCUCUGCUCACAGACCUUCCAUCAAGAAAUUCACUACAGUGUGUUGGAACAGUCUAUGUACCUGACUACCACACAAGGUCUCUUCUCAGAUUUAUUUUUCUCUUUUUUCCCUCCCACUGGGGACAAAUAGCUUCCAUUCCUGAAGGGAAGUUGCCUGCUUGGAGAUGGACAGAGGAAGAUAUUUGGGUUCAGCUUAUCCCCUCUGGGCACUUUGGGGGAAGCAGCAUGGGUUGGGGCAGGAGAACUCUAAUGUGUAUGUGUUAAUAAACUUACUGUUUUCUAAAAUUUUGUCAAAGGUAUGCAUGUUUAUAGUUUAAAGAGGUGAAGAGUUCCAUGUGGCCUACUGUAUUUUUCCUUCCUUGUAUAACUUUUAUUUUCCUAGGAGCUAAUAACUAUCUUGUUCUUUUGUUUGCUUGCCUUUCUCUGUACUUAUCACUAAUUCAACUCCAGAGUCUUUACUGAUUGCCUAUUCCAAUAUUUUCACCCACAUCAGGUGCUCUAUCAAUUUCAUUGUCCUGAAGAGUUUCCCUGACAGCCUUCUGACCUGG
rnacentral:lncRNA from 10 species